AUUGUUCGGUGCUGCUAUUUUCCAUUCGCUGCUGGGUUGCUUCUACUCUCCACCAAUCUGUCAAGUAGCAAAGAGUAGGUUUGACCUCAAUUUCGAUGCAGACAUGGAUUGGGAUGUGAUGCAUGUACUUGCUAAUUAAGGGAUUUGGAUCUUGCCCUCAAUUAGAGUUCCCAAUCUCAACGAAGUGGGGUUUAUGAAUUUUAUUAUUUUUUAGCUUGAAUGGACUGUAGCUUCGCUUAAUUGACUGACAGUUGUAUUUGACUGAAUAACUGGAUUAAUUGAUUUCAUGGCAGAUGCCGGUUUUGACCUUGGUUGAUCAUGCUUUGUUCCGUGUUUGGCCUGCAACAUAUUUUCUAUGCAUUCGCAGAAAUGGUAACUGAAUAAUUACUUCAUACUGCAGAACAUCUUGCUUAAUACCUGAGUCCCCGGCCCUUGUUGCUACAGGUUUAUCUGCCCAAUAACAUGAAUUGAUUUUUUCACCCAAAAAGGUUGAAAUCAACUGUUUUGCAUACACAAUUAAAUAGUGAGCAUCGCGUUUUAUUAGCAAAAUUUAAUAGUUCAUACACAAUUAGGAAGUUGCAUGAAGAUUACAUUAUUUUUCCUGAACAUGUUCUAUUGUAAAGAUAAGGUCAGAGGCAUACCAACACAAUGCUCUGUUUAGUGAAGCUACAAAACCCACCAUCAUAACUGACAAUUCCAUGUUUUAUUGCCUGGUGAAUAUUUAUUCUAUUUUAAUGCUGACAAAUUGGCCCUUUGUUGAUCGAUAUGGUUCCCUUUGAAUGACAUGAAGGAGGAAUAAGGGUUGCUUCUCACUCCAUUUUGGUCUGUGCUGGCGUGGACGGAGGGUGACCCAGGCCUGUCCGACCAAAGGUGGCCGGUGAGCCUCUUGGUCUGUGCAGGUAAAAUUUAUCUCUCCCUUUUAUCUUUUCGUGACUUCUUGUUUUGGGUCCUGCUGAAUUGGUUUGCUUGGUGCAAUUGAGAAAAUAAGAUGACUUGGUGAGGUGAGAAAAAAACAUACAAUGGGGGCAUGCCAAAUUGGUGGAGUUGAAGCAUGUGUCCUGCUUACACCAUCUUAGGAACAUGGCAGAGGAAGGUGUUGAUUAAUUGGUAGGCAAAUUAAGCAUUUCAUGGGAAUCCUCGGUUAAUGUAACAUGAAGGAUGGAGUGUUUACAUGGUUGUGAAUUUUUCUCAUAGCAAGUUGAACG
rnacentral:lncRNA from 1 species